CGGGGUGCAGCAGGCGCGAAAACUCCACAAUGUACGACAGUACGAUGGGGUUAUCUCGAGUGCAGUCCGAUAAGGGCUGCUUUUCCAUAGAGUAAUAUCCUGUGGGAAUAAGAGGGGGGCAAGACUGGUGUCAGCCGCCGCGGUAACACCAGCCCCUCGAGUGGUGGGGACUAUUAUUUGGUCUAAAGCGUCCGUAGCUGGCUGUAUCCGUCCCCCGUUAAAUCCAGCGUCCUAAGCGUUGGACUGCGGGUGAUACCAUACAGCUAGAGGGUGGGAUAGGUGAGCGGUAUUUCUGGGGUAGGGGCGAAAUCCUUUGAUCCCAGGAGGACCACCAGUGGCGAAGGCUGCUCACUAGAACACGCCUGACGGUCAGGGACGAAAGCUGGGGCAGCGAACCGGAUUAGAUACCCGGGUAGUCCCAGCUGUAAACGAUGCCGCUAGGUGUUGGGUCGGCCACGCGCCGCCCCAGUGCCGCAGGGAAGCCGUUAAGCUGGCCACCUGGGGAGUACGGCCGCAAGGCUGAAACUUAAAGGAAUUGGCGGGGGAGCAC
rnacentral:rRNA from 1 species